ACUGGCAGCUAGCUCUCUGCAACUCUCUCAUUGUCCCCACUGAAGCCAAGUAAGGUUGCGCUUGGGCAAUACCUGGAUGGGAGACCACAUGGGAAAGCUAGCUUGCAGCCAGAA
rnacentral:rRNA from 1 species